GCGUUUACCACGGUGUGAUUCAUGACUGGGGUGAAGUCGUAACAAGGUAACCCUAGGGGAACCUGGGGUUGGAUCACCUCCUUACCUUAA
rnacentral:rRNA from 1 species